rnacentral:misc_RNA from 1 species
UGGCAGGAUCAACCAGGUAGCAUUCCAUGUCGACUUCGGCACUGCAUGGACGAAUCCAAAACAACACCAGCUGUCGUUCGCAUUUAGCGUGUGACGCUAUUUUAGGGGCAGAAUGGAGACCGAUGAUGCCUCGUACCCACAAGGUACUCCACGGCCGAGAGAACGAGCGCUACUGUGCCAUGGAUCCAACGGCCCGAGGACAUUUUUUAAGCCAUGGGCGUUGGAGCAUGACGUUUGCUUCAAAGUUCACCUCGCACCACGAACCCAAGGGCUCGCAGCGAGAGGAGAAAAGAUCCCGUUAAUCAGACGAAUUCCCCAUGCAUUGGGUAUAGAACACAAGAAACCGAGCUCGGCCAAGAUGUUUUUCCUGCACUUGAACCGAUUACCGAAGAGGCAUGUCGGAUACAUUUUCGU